ACAUAUAGUUUUCUUUUUCGCUGAGUUAGCUCUUACACAGUAUUGCAUGAUAAUGCAUUGCCCGAUGAUUGUGGCUUCUGCGGUGUAUGCGGCCUGAUGCACCUUACAGAAGAGUCCCCUCUGGAGCAAGACGCUUAAGCAAUACACUGGGUUUGCCAAGACACAGUUUGUGUAAGCUGCUCUGCAUGCCCUUUUUUCCUUGUGUGGAGAGUUUCGCUGAUUGAGCUACAUGAGCCAAUGUGGGGUGUGUUUGUGAGUGAGAGAUCGGGCCAAUGUGGUGCGAGAUCAGUUCAUAAGUUGGGUCCCACCCUUGUGGCUGAAAAAUAUCAAGGUGGGUCCAGUCAUCUGGGUGGGCUAAUUUGAAUGCGGAAUGGGGUCGUCCGUGUCUGCUUAUUUUAAGCAAAUGGUGAGGUUGAACUGAUGAUCAGACCUAACCAGUGGGGCCCACAAGGGCUAAAAAAUCAAUGGUAGGAUCCAGUCAUCUGAAUGCAGAAUGUGGUCAUCCUGCCUAUUCUAAACUAAUCAUAUGCAAAUGGGAGAGGUCCAAUCAUCUGAACAGUGGGCCCACAAGGGCUAAAAAUCAAUGGGACUGCACAAAGCUCUUGGUGAACUUCCUUUCUUCUGCAGCGGAUAGUAUGCUGAAGGCGGUCCACCGGAAGUACUCUAAUCCUCUAGGUGAAUCUGUUGCUUUACUACCUCCAUCAUCGAAAUUCUUAAAGGAGUCGAAGGAUGCUGCCUCCACCUGACUGCUGACUGGUUUGGGUUGUGUUUUCCCCCAAACAUGUACAGCCACUGACCACUGGGUGCGGGUGUUUAUGUUUUUUCCAUUUGAUUUAUCAUCUUUGGUUGAAGUAGAGUUUUUGUUUUUUGGAGUGAAGAUUCAUCUCUCUGAUGAUAUCUCUCUAUUAGUAACUCUUUCCUCAGGAGUGGGGUGUGUUUAUGACAUGUUUAAGAAUGUGCAGAAACAGCUUCAAAUUUCAGUUGGGAAUGAAUGGUCUGUUUAAGUGU